rnacentral:rRNA from 1 species
UACGGGGGGGGCAAGCGUUGUUCGGAAUUACUGGGCGUAAAGGGCUCGUAGGCGGCCAACUAAGUCAGACGUGAAAUCCCCAGGCUCAACCUGGGAACUGCGUCUGAUACUGGAUGGCUUGAAUCCGGGAGAGGGAUGCAGAAUUCCAGGUGUAGCGGUGAAAUGCGUAGAUAUCUGGAGGAACACCGGUGGCGAAGGCGGCGACCUGGUCCGAUACUGACGCUGAGGCGCGAAAGCGUGGGGAGCAAACAGG